AUGAUGAGAUGUUGUGAGGAGUGUGGCCGAUGGGAGGGUAACGGCGGGGCAGUGUUGAGGGGCGGGAAGGCGUCGGCGACCGACCGAUCGACCGCGGCCUCCCGUCAGGACGAGACCCCGCCCAUCUCUUCCUGAUCGGAAGACGAAAGCUUUUGACCCGGAGAAAGGCAAAAACAAUUGGCAAAAAAAAGAUAGUUG
ensembl:ncRNA K02A4.3 ncRNA